UACGUAGGGUGCAAGCGUUGUCCGGAAUUAUUGGGCGUAAAGAGCGUGUAGGCGGCCAUGCAGGUCCGUUGUGAAAACUCGAGGCUCAACCUCGAGACGUCGGUGGAAACCGCAUGGCUAGAGUCCGGAAGAGGAGACUGGAAUUUACGGUGUAGCGGUGAAAUGCGUAGAUAUCGUAAGGAAGACCAGUGGCGAAGGCGGGUCUCUGGACAGUUCCUGACGCUGAGGCACGAAAGGUCAGGGGAGCAAACGGG
rnacentral:rRNA from 1 species